AUCACUUCUCUGCUCUUUGGCUAAGAUCAAGUGUAGUAUCUGAGAAUAACAUUUAUGGUUCACAUGUCUUCUUCCACAUUUGUGUGGUUUUGGAGAACAGAACUUUAGAUCACCAAAUUUCUGCAGAAAAUACCUU
rnacentral:snRNA from 1 species